rfam:Salmo salar isolate Sally breed double haploid chromosome ssa27, whole genome shotgun sequence.
UGCACUCAUGACUGUAAGUCGCAUUGGAUGAAAGCAUCUGCUAAAUGGCAUAUA